rfam:Phlebia centrifuga strain FBCC195 PHLCENscaffold_1345, whole genome shotgun sequence.
GCUCUCGUUGUCUAAUGGUUAUGACGUCAGACUUCUAAGUCGUAGAUUAUCUGGAGGUUGAGGGUUCGAGUCCCUCCGGGAGCU